GACGAACGCUGGCGGCGUGCCUAAUACAUGCAAGUCGAGCGCAGGAAACUGACGGAACUCUUCGGAGGGAAGGCAGUGGAAUGAGCGGCGGACGGGUGAGUAACACGUAAGGAACCUGCCUCAAGGAUUGGGAUAACUCCGAGAAAUCGGAGCUAAUACCGGAUAGUUCAACGGACCGCAUGGUCCGCUGAUGAAAGGCGCUCCGGCGUCACCUUGAGAUGGCCUUGCGGUGCAUUAGCUAGUUGGUGGGGUAACGGCCCACCAAGGCGACGAUGCAUAGCCGACCUGAGAGGGUGAUCGGCCACACUGGGACUGAGACACGGCCCAGACUCCUACGGGAGGCAGCAGUAGGGAAUCUUCCACAAUGGACGAAAGUCUGAUGGAGCAACGCCGCGUGAGUGAUGAAGGUUUUCGGAUCGUAAAACUCUGUUGUAAGGGAAGAACACGUACGAGAGGAAAUGCUCGUACCUUGACGGUACCUUACGAGAAAGCCACGGCUAACUACGUGCCAGCAGCCGCAGUAACAC
rnacentral:rRNA from 1 species